rnacentral:misc_RNA from 1 species
UUUCCGUAGGUGAACCUGCGGAAGGAUCAUUACAGAGUUCAUGCCCUCACGGGUAGAUCUCCCACCCUUGAAUAUUUAUACCUUAGUUGCUUUGGCAGGCCGUGGAAACACCAUGGGCUCCGGCUUAUGCGUGCCUGCCAGAGGAAACAAACUCUGUUUUUAGUGAUGUCUGAGUACUAUAUAAUAGUUAAAACUUUCAACAGCGGAUCUCUUGGUUCUG